rnacentral:rRNA from 1 species
CAUAGGUUAAUGAGGCGAACCGGGGGAACUGAAACAUCUAAGUACCCCGAGGAAAAGAAAUCAACCGAGAUUCCCCCAGUAGCGGCGAGCGAACGGGGAGCAGCCCAGAGCCUGAAUCAGUGUGUGUGUUAGUGGAAGCGUCUGGAAAGGCGCGCGAUACAGGGUGACAGCCCCGUACACAAAAAUGCACAUGCUGUGAGCUCGAUGAGUAGGGCGGGACACGUGGUAUCCUGUCUGAAUAUGGGGGGACCAUCCUCCAAGGCUAAAUACUCCUGACUGACCGAUAGUGAACCAGUACCGUGAGGGAAAGGCGAAAAGAACCCCGGCGAGGGGAGUGAAAAAGAACCUGAAACCGUGUACGUACAAGCAGUGGGAGCCUCUUUAUGGGGUGACUGCGUACCUUUUGUAUAAUGGGUCAGCGACUUAUAUUCUGUAGCAAGGUUAACCGAAUAGGGGAGCCGAAGGGAAACCGAGUCUUAACUGGGCGUUAAGUUGCAGGGUAUAGACCCGAAACC